UACGGGGGGUGCGAGCGUUGUCCGGAAUCACUGGGCGUAAAGGGCGCGUAGGUGGCGUGAUAAGGGUGUGGUGAAAGCCCGGGGCUCAACCCCGGGUCGGCCAUGCCGACUGUCAGGCUAGAGUGCUGUAGGGGCAGGCGGAAUUCCGGGUGUAGCGGUGGAAUGCGUAGAGAUCCGGAGGAACACCAGUGGCGAAGGCAGGUCUCUGGGCCACUACUGACGCUGAGAAGCGAAAGCAUGGGGAGCGAACAGG
rnacentral:rRNA from 1 species